rnacentral:rRNA from 1 species
GACGAACGCUGGCGGCGUGCUUAACACAUGCAAGUCACGGGGGUCCCGCAAGGGAUAACCGGCGAACGGGUGCGUAACACGUGAACAACCUGCCCUCGUGUGGGGGAUAGCCAUGCUAACGCGUGGGUAAUACCGCAUACGGUCCUUUGGGGGAGUCCCUGGGGGAAGAAAGCUCCGGCGCACGGGGAGGGGUUCGCGGCCUAUCAGCUAGUUGGGGG